UUUUUCGAAAUCGACAUCAUCUUCCUCUCUUAUAAAACUUUGUUUUUAUAUAGAUGUAUUUUCAAAAAUGUAUUGCACGUUAAUUUUGGUAAUAACAAUGUGUAAUAUUGUUACCACACACACAAGAAGAAAUGUUACUUGGGCCAAUGCUUGGAACGACUGUACUGUUGCAAAAUUAGAUAACAUCAGAGGAGAUGCUGGUGAUAUUGACAUUCCGGAUAUUUUACCAGCCUGGACAGGAUCAUCAGUACAAGUGUCAGAAUGGGCAACGGUAGUUGGUUGUAUGUGUAAAUCAACAGUAGGCGCAAUGGAUAAAACAUUCAAUGAAUUACGGAAGUUGUUUCCUCAUGAUGGAGAUCCAGUAAUCUCUAUUGAUGAAUUUCAAUGUGCCUUUAGAUGUACAAAGAUAACAAACUUUUUCACUU